rnacentral:lncRNA from 1 species
UUAAAUACAACUAGAAAUAACAACUGACCUGAUUAGAAGGAUUCAAACCAUAAAAAUAGCAUAACUACUUAUGCUGAUAUUCAGCUAACAACCCCAAGCUCAAGACCUAUUCUUAAGCUAAAAUACUUGGUUGUAAAUCAACAGAUUAUGAACAAGUCUUAACCUGAUGCCACGUAUAAUUAUUAGACUUAAUAUUAAACUCAACUGGACUCUAGACUUGACUAAAUUAAAUAAUACUCAAUAAAUACUAGAUCUUUAUGCAGAACAUUACUCAGCUCCUAUGCCACGUCAUUGUGCACAUAACAUUUUAGUUAAACAAAUCACUAUAAAAAAGGGUUGAAUGGGAGAUAUUUUACACACAAUGCAACACCUUAUUUGCCUUCUCAUGUUCGAUUUUCUUAGCUUUGUUUUUCCAUUAGCG